rnacentral:rRNA from 1 species
GACGAACGCUGGCGGCGUGCUUAACACAUGCAAGUCGAACGGAAAGGCCCUGCUUUUGUGGGGUGCUCGAGUGGCGAACGGGUGAGUAACACGUGAGUAACCUGCCCUUGACUUUGGGAUAACUUCAGGAAACUGGGGCUAAUACCGGAUAGGAGCUCCUGCUGCAUGGUGGGGGUUGGAAAGUUUCGGCGGUUGAGGAUGGACUCGCGUCUGAUCAGCUUGUUGGUGGGGUAGUGGCUCACCAAGGCGUCGACGGGUAGCCGGCCUGGGUGGGUGCUCAGUCACGCUUGGACUGCGACCCGGCCCCGACUCCUACGGGAGGCAGCAGUGGGUAAUAUUGGACACUGGGGGCAACCCUGAUCCAGCCAUGCCGCGUGAGUGAAGAUGGCCUUCGGGUUGUAAAGCUCUUUCGACGGGGACGAUGAUGACGGUACCCGUAGAAGAAGCCCCGGCUAACUUCGUG